rnacentral:rRNA from 1 species
UACGUAUGGAGCAAGCGCUAUCCGGAUUUACUGGGUGUAAAGGGAGCGCAGGCGGCUUUGCAAGUCUGAUGUGAAAGGCCGGGGCUCAACCCCGGGACUGCAUUGGAAACUGUAAAGCUAGAGUGCCGGAGAGGUAAGCGGAAUUCCUAGUGUAGCGGUGAAAUGCGUAGAUAUUAGGAGGAACACCAGUGGCGAAGGCGGCUUACUGGACGGCAACUGACGCUGAGGCUCGAAAGCGUGGGGAGCAAACAGG